rnacentral:rRNA from 1 species
UACAGAGGGUGCAAGCGUUAAUCGGAAUUACUGGGCGUAAAGCGUGCGUAGACGGUUAUGUAAGUCGGGUGUGAAAGCCCCGGGCUCAACCUGGGAAUUGCAUUCGAGACUGCAUAGCUAGGGUGCGGAAGAGGGAAGCGGAAUUUCCGGUGUAGCGGUGAAAUGCGUAGAUAUCGGAAGGAACACCAGUGGCGAAAGCGGCUUCCUGGUCCAGCACCGACGUUCGGGCACGAAAGCGUGGGGAGCAAACAGG